rnacentral:rRNA from 1 species
GGCGGCGGGUGAAUAACACGUAAGAAUUUGCCUUUAGGAGGGGGACAACAACUGGAAACGGUUGCUAAUACCCCAUAUGCUUUCGAGUGAAAUGGAUUUUUCCGCCUAAAGAGAAGCUUGCGGCUGAUUAGCUUGUUGGUGAGGUAAUGGCUCACCAAGGCGACGAUCAGUAUCUGGUUUGAGAGGACGAUCAGACACACUGGAACUGAGACACGGUCCAGACUCCUACGGGAGGCAGCAGUGGGGAAUUUUCCGCAAUGGGCGAAAGCCUGACGGAGCAAUACCGCGUGAGGGAUGACGGCCUAUGGGUUGUAAACCUCUUUUUUCAGGGAGGAAUAAAAUGACGUGUACCUGAAGAAUAAGCAUCGGCUAACUCCGUGCCAGCAGCCGCGGUAAGACGGAGGAUGCAAGUGUUAUCCGGAAUCACUGGGCGUAAAGCGUCUGUAGGUGGUCCAAUAAGUCAACUGUUAAAUCUUGAGGCUCAACCUCAAAAUCGCAGUCGAAACUAUUAGACUAGAGUAUAGUAGGGGUAAAGGGAAUUUCCAGUGGAGCGGUGAAAUGCGUAGAGAUUGGAAAGAACACCGAUGGCGAAGGCACUUUACUGGGCUAUUACUAACACUGAGAGACGAAAGCUAGGGUAGCAAAUGGGAUUAGAUACCCCAGUAGUCCUAGCCGUAAACAAUGGAUACUAGAUGUUGGACAGAUCGACCUGUGCAGUAUCAAAGCUAACGCGUUAAGUA